rfam:Desulfobacteraceae bacterium 4572_123 ex4572_123_scaffold_5513, whole genome shotgun sequence.
UCGGACAGCAAGCUCCCGGAUACACAGGCGGCUUACGAUUUUUCAUUGCCGGCAACCGUGGCCGCAUUGAGCGGCCCAAAUAUUGUAUAUGGUGCCG